GAUGAAGAACGUAGCGAAAUGCGAUAAGUAGUGUGAAUUGCAGAAUUCAGUGAAUCAUCAAAUCUUUGAACGCACAUUGCGCCCCUCGGUAUUCCGUGGGGCAUGCCUGUUCGAGCGUCAUUUAACCCCUCAAGCCUAGCUUGGUAUUGGGUGCUUGUCCCGCCUCUCGCGCGGCGACUCACCUCAAAGUCAUUGGCAGCCCGCAUCUCGCCGGCCGUGAGCGCAGCACAGACGCGCUCUUGGCAACGACGGAUCGGCUCUCCAAAAGCUUAUUUCAACCACUGACCUCGGAUCAGGUAGGGAUACCCGCUGAACUUAAGCAUAUCAAUAAGCGGAGGA
rnacentral:misc_RNA from 1 species